GACGAACGCUGGCGGCGUGCCUAAUACAUGCAAGUAGAACGCUGAAGAUAGGAGCUUGCUCUUCUUGGAUGAGUUGCGAACGGGUGAGUAACGCGUAGGUAACCUGCCUUGUAGCGGGGGAUAACUAUUGGAAACGAUAGCUAAUACCGCAUAACAAUGGAUGACACAUGUCAUUUAUUUGAAAGGGGCAAUUGCUCCACUACAAGAUGGACCUGCGUUGUAUUAGCUAGUAGGUGAGGUAACGGCUCACCUAGGCGACGAUACAUAGCCGACCUGAGAGGGUGAUCGGCCACACUGGGACUGAGACACGGCCCAGACUCCUACGGGAGGCAGCAGUAGGGAAUCUUCGGCAAUGGGGGCAACCCUGACCGAGCAACGCCGCGUGAGUGAAGAAGGUUUUCGGAUCGUAAAGCUCUGUUGUAAGUCAAGAACGAGUGUGAGAGUGGAAAGUUCACACUGUGACGGUAGCUUACCAGAAAGGGACGGCUAACUACGUG
rnacentral:rRNA from 1 species